AGAGUUUGAUCCGGCUCAGAUUGAACGCUGGCGGCAGGCCUAACACAUGCAAGUCGAACGGUAACAGGAAGAAGCUUGCUUCUUUGCUGACGAGUGGCGGACGGGUGAGUAAUGUCUGGGAAACUGCCUGAUGGAGGGGGAUAACUACUGGAAACGGUAGCUAAUACCGCAUAACGUCGCAAGACCAAAGAGGGGGACCUUCGGGCCUCUUGCCAUCGGAUGUGCCCAGAUGGGAUUAGCUAGUAGGUGGGGUAACGGCUCACCUAGGCGACGAUCCCUAGCUGGUCUGAGAGGAUGACCAGCCACACUGGAACUGAGACACGGUCCAGACUCCUACGGGAGGCAGCAGUGGGGAAUAUUGCACAAUGGGCGCAAGCCUGAUGCAGCCAUGCCGCGUGUAUGAAGAAGGCCUUCGGGUUGUAAAGUACUUUCAGCGGGGAGGAAGGGAGUAAAGUUAAUACCUUUGCUCAUUGACGUUACCCGCAGAAGAAGCACCGGCUAACUCCGUGCCAGCAGCCGCGGUAAUACGGAGGGUGCAAGCGUUAAUCGGAAUUACUGGGCGUAAAGCGCACGCAGGCGGUUUGUUAAGUCAGAUGUGAAAUCCCCGGGCUCAACCUGGGAACUGCAUCUGAUACUGGCAAGCUUGAGUCUCGUAGAGGGGGGUAGAAUUCCAGGUGUAGCGGUGAAAUGCGUAGA
rnacentral:rRNA from 1 species